rnacentral:rRNA from 1 species
GACGAACCGUGCGAACGUUAUUCGGAAUCACUGGGCUUAAAGCGCGUGUAGGCGGGCCGGCACGUCGAGAGCUGAAAUGCCCCGGCUUAACCGGAGCACUGGCAUCGAUACGACCGGCCUUGAGGGGAGUAGGGGGGUCGGGAACUUCCGGUGGAGCGGUGAAAUGCGUUGAGAUCGGAAGGAACGCCCGUGGCGAAAGCGCGGCCCUGGACUCUUACUGACGCUGAGACGCGAAAAGCU